rnacentral:rRNA from 1 species
GACGAACGCUGGCGGCGUGCUUAACACAUGCAAGUCGAACGAUGAAGCUGGAGCUUGCUCCGGUGGAUUAGUGGCGAACGGGUGAGUAACACGUGAGCAAUCUGCCCUUGACUCUGGGAUAACUGCGGGAAACUGUAGCUAAUACCGGAUACGAGGCUCGAAGGCAUCUUCGGGUCUGGAAAGAAUUUCGGUCAAGGAUGAGCUCGCGGCCUAUCAGCUUGUUGGUGAGGUAAUGGCUCACCAAGGCGACGACGGGUAGCCGGCCUGAGAGGGUGACCGGCCACACUGGGACUGAGACACGGCCCAGACUCCUACGGGAGGCAGCAGUGGGGAAUAUUGCACAAUGGGCGAAAGCCUGAUGCAGCAACGCCGCGUGAGGGAUGAAGGCCUUCGGGUUGUAAACCUCUUUUAGCAGGGAAGAAGCGAAAGUGACGGUACCUGCAGAAAAAGCACCGGCUAACUACGUGCCAGCAGCCGCCGCCG